rnacentral:rRNA from 1 species
GUGGGGAAUCUUGCGCAAUGGGCGAAAGCCUGACGCAGCCAUGCCGCGUGAAUGAUGAAGGUCUUAGGAUUGUAAAAUUCUUUCACCGGGGACGAUAAUGACGGUACCCGGAGAAGAAGCUCCGGCUAACUUCGUGCCAGCAGCCGCGGUAAUACGAAGGGGGCUAGCGUUGCUCGGAAUUACUGGGCGUAAAGGGCGCGUAGGCGAACAGCUUAGUCAGAGGUGAAAGCCCAGGGCUCAACCUUGGAAUUGCCUUUGAUACUGGCUGUCUUGAGUUUGGGAGAGGUGAGUGGAACUCCGAGUGUAGAGGUGAAAUUCGUAGAUAUUCGGAAGAACACCAGUGGCGAAGGCGACUCACUGGCCCAAUACUGACGCUGAGGCGCGAAAGCGUGGGGAGCAAACAGGAUUAGAUACCCUUGUAGUCC